UAAUGGUAAUCAGUUGUAACUUGUAAGUUGUGCCCUAAAUCAUUAAUUCAUUAGAUGUCGUAAGACCGAUUACCGAAGACGCUUCAGAGUUCAAACAUUUAUUUAUUAGUUAUCAUAAUGUCUAUAAUAACUAUUCUUAAUUUUAAUCCAAGAUAAACGUUGAAGAUUACUUUUCGAGAAAUGUCUACAAAGAACAUGGAAGGACUGAUCUUAAGAGGAAUUAGGCUGAAAUCUAAUGUGGUUUAAUAAGAAGCAGUGAAUGCAUCCAUAUACAUAAGAAUAUGGAAGCACUUUUAAUUGAUAAAAUACUGUUACCUAAACCACACUGAAACCAGGAGGCUCAGGAUGAAAAAGAAAUGGCCACAUAUACAUGCAGACAUCAUGCAUUUAAAAAUAAGCAUAGACAAGAGGUAACCACUAACUGUGUGUGAACUAGCUGCACUGCUGAAUAACAAUUUGAAAAAAAGGAGUAUGUUUGUGUUAGAUAAAUAAAAAUAAAACAUUAUC